rnacentral:rRNA from 1 species
UAGGGAAUCUUCCGCAAUGGACGAAAGUCUGACGGAGCGACGCCGCGUGAGUGAUGAAGGUCUUCGGAUCGUAAAACUCUGUUGUUAGGGAAGAACAAGUAUCGACCGAAUAAGUCGGUACCUUGACGGUACCUAACCAGAAAGCCCCGGCUAACUACGUGCCAGCAGCCGCGGUAAUACGUAGGGGGCAAGCGUUGUCCGGAUUUAUUGGGCGUAAAGAGCUCGUAGGCUGCUUCGUAAGUCGGACGUGAAAUCCCACGGCUUAACUGUGGGGGCCGUUCGAUACUGCGGAGCUAGAGGCCGGUAGGGGGACGUGGAAUUCCUGGUGUAGCGGUGAAAUGCGCAGAUAUCAGGAGGAACACCGGUUGGCGAAGGCGGGUCUCUGGGCCAUUACUGACGCUGAGGAGCGAAAGCGUGGGGAGCGAACA